CUCGUCUGUCAAAAGCCGGACAUAAUGAAUCCAUCAAAUUUUGACUAAAAAUAAUACAGCAAUUAUACAAGGUUUUCAUACCUACUCAAAACAUAAACAUUUAACGAUACAAUGCAUUUUGAAUGUUGUUUUAAAAUAGUAGUGCAAUUAUUUUAUAUGUACAAAAUUUCCGCUCGCCCCAGAUCGUCGUUUAUCUUCGGUUUUGAUCGGCAAACUUCGUACGUGACUUUGGUAUUGGGAGUGACGCCAUUUUGUGGCCAACUGCGCAGUGCGGCCCCCCACCUCAGGUCGAGUAUAUAAAGCCGCCAUGACGUCAUGUGCCCAACAUUCGUUUUUCGUCGUGGUGAAGUGCAGAUGUGGCUACGUUGUGUGUUGUGCUGAAGAUUUCAAGAAGUGAUAAUUGUGCCUGGUCGGAUUCAGUCCCAUUGCGUUUCGCGUGGGCCUGCAUCCGUCGGCCGCCAUCUUGGUUGCCGCUGGGGCGUGGUCGCUGCUAGCUACAAAAUGGGUUUGUAAAACGGUAUCAUGCAUUUAUAUAAGUAGUUAAUUUUAAGUGUUUCAAUUUCUCACGCAUAACGAUUAAAUUGGAAUUUUGAUUUUUAUUCAUAUUGAAUAAUAAAAUUGUACAUAUGUUUAAGUAUGGAAAUAAACAAUUUUUGAAAAAAGAAA